rnacentral:rRNA from 1 species
AUCUUUGAUUGUGAAUCGCAUUCCAAAUUCACUUGAUUGUGAUNUNGUCCAGAGAGGGUNUUAGACCCGUUGGAAUGUGUGAAACUGUUNAUGAUACUUCCUAUGAGUCGGAUUGNUUGAGANNGCAGUCCAAAUUGGGUGGUNAACUUCAUCUAAGGCUAAAUACUUGUGCUAGUCCGAUAGAAAACAAGUACCGUGAGGGAAAGNUGAAAAGAACUUUGAAGAGAGAGUUAAAUAGUACGUGAAAUCGCUUAGAGGUAAACGAGUGGAGCCGAAAAUGUAGUGUGGGAUUCAGUUGUUUGNGUUGNGUGUGUUAACAGUCGAUAUNUUUAAUCAUGGGANUCACUGUUAUCUUAUUUAUCAAAAUGCACACGAUGCACUUUCCAUKCAACAAAGCUGCGAUCGAUAGCGUUSAUUNUCKCKCRUANUAAUGANGGUNAUCAUUUUNUCGGAAAUGGUUUUAUAGCUUUCUACACGGUCAAUCAAUUUAUCGGUGAAUACGAUUGGUCAUUGUUACUGAUGNUNGAUNUCAGUUGUUUGAUNGUAAACUUUNNNAUGAGAUUACUUUUAAAUAANNUGAUGUKGGUAUUGGUAAUGGAUUAAUCAAAAUCUGCAGUGUAUAUGUAGGUUACCUACUCGUCCCGUCUUGAAACACGGACCAAGGAGUUUUAUAUGAUCGCGAGUCAAAGAGCUUUACGAAACUCCACGGCGCAAGUAACUUAAAGGUUUACGUUAGUAAGCUGAAAUGUGACCUCAUUGAAUCCGUUCAAUAGAGAGCAACAUUGACCUGUCUAAAGAAUUUCGAUUCUGGGCGGAGUUUGAGCGAUCAUGUAGAGACCCGAAAGAUGGUGAACUAUGCUUGUGCAGGUUGAAGUCAGGGGAAACUCUGAUGGAGGACCGAAGCGGUUCUGACGUGCAAAUCGAUCGUCGGACAUGAGUAUAGGGGCGAAAGACUAAUCGAACCAUGUAGUAGCUGGUUCCCUCCGAAGUUUCCCUCAGGAUAGCUGGCGUGUGAGUUGUAGUUUNACCUGGUAAAGCGAAUGAUUAGAAGUAUGGGGGACGAAAUGUUUUCAACUUAUUCUCAAACUUUAAAUAGGUUCGAAGUAUUACUCGCUUAAUUGGAGUAAUACAUGGAAUACAAAUGCCUAGUGGGCCAUUUUUGGUAAGCAGAACUGGCGAUGUGGGAUGAACCAAACAUCUGGUUAAGGCGCCUAACAUCACGCUCAUGAGAUACCACAAAAGGUGUUGGUUGAUAAAGACAGCAGGACGGUGGACAUGGAAGUCGUCAUCCGCUAAGGAGCGUGUAACAACUCACCUCCCGAAUCAACCAGCCCUGAAAAUGGAUGGCGCUGUAGCGUGGGACGUAUACCGGAUCAGUAUCGCAAGUCCUUAAUGGAUACGCGUAAGCGGUACUGUGUAGGAGGGUGCCGUGGUUGCUGAGAAGCUACUGGCGUAAGGCAGAGUGGAGCGGCCACGGGUACAGAUCUUGGUAG